ensembl:snoRNA
AUCCUUUUGUGAGGAUAAGCGUGAUGCUUGGGUUUUCACUCACGUGAGAUGUGCCUCCCUCAAACCUUGUUAUAUCAGCAUGUUUACCAUCUGAUA